rnacentral:rRNA from 1 species
UACAGAGGUCUCAAGCGUUGUUCGGAUUCAUUGGGCGUAGAGGGCGCGUAGGCUGCGGGGCAAGUCGGGUGUGAAAUCUCAGAGCUCAACUCUGAAACUGCACUCGAUACUGCUUUGCUUGAGGACUGGAGAGGAGAUUGGAAUUCACGGUGUAGCAGUGAAAUGCGUAGAUAUCGUGAGGAAGACCAGUGGCGAAGGCGGAUCUCUGGACAGUUCCUGACGCUGAGGCGCGAAGGCCAGGGGAGCAAACGGG